rnacentral:tRNA from 1 species
UCCCUGUUGGCUCAGAUGGUAAAGAAUCUGCCUGCAAUGCAGGAGACCUAGGUUCAAUCCCUGGGUCAGGAA